GGAGAGAUGGCCGAGCGGCUUAAGGCGCACGCUUGGAAAGCGUGUUCAUGUUUAUAGCAUGACGAGGGUUCGAAUCCCUCUCUUUCCG